rnacentral:rRNA from 1 species
UACGAGGGGGGGCGAAGCGUUGUUCGGAAUUAUUGGGCGUAAAGGGUGCGUAGGCGGCCUGACAAGUCUGAUGUGAAAUCCCUGGGCUCAACCCAGGGCCUGCAUCGGAAACUGUCGGGCUUGAGUAUGGGAGAGGUGAGUGGAAUUUCCGGUGUAGCGGUGAAAUGCGUAGAUAUCGGAAGGAACACCUGUGGCGAAAGCGGCUCACUGGACCAUUACUGACGCUGAGGCACGAAAGCUAGGGGAGCAAACAGG